UUUCAAACUAUAUAAACCGGCGAAAUUUUAUCAAAUAUCAGUUGGAAAUCGGAAAGCAACAAACAGUCAACAUGAUCUCUCAGGUGUUCAUCAUCGCUAUUGUAGCUACUGCUGCAUUCGCAUGGGUUGUCCCUGUUCAUCAUGCUCCCCAACCAUACAAAUUUGGAUAUAACAUAAAAGACCACCAUAGUCAGCAGCAUAGGGAAGAAGUCGGAGACGGCGUCAGCGGAGUGAAAGGAAGUACGGAUCACCGAUGCUCGAGGAUUCACAGACAGGGAACU